AGUAGAGAUGGUGUUUCACCAUGUUGGCCAGGCUGGUCUCAAACUCCUGACCUCAGGUGAUCCACCCACC
ensembl:miRNA